rnacentral:piRNA from 1 species
UGCACAAGAUGUUUUGGAUGCGUGAGAGC